rnacentral:rRNA from 1 species
CCAAGGAGUCUAACAUGUGCGCGAGUCACUCGGUCUUGAAUAGGCCAGAGAGGCGCAAUGAAAGUAAAGUUGAUUGAGUUACGAUCCUCAUCCGAUUAUCCUUGUGGUAACGGUGGGGCGCAGUAACAGCCCGCCAAUUUCGCUUAUUGACGAUCUGGCGGAGUUGUAGCGUACACGUUGGUACCCGAAAGAUGGUGAACUAUGCCUGGGCAAGACGAAGCCAGAGGAAACUCUGGUGGAGGUCUGUAGCGAUUCUGACGUGCAAAUCGAUCGUCAGACCUGGGUAUAGGGGCGAAAGACUAAUCGAACCAUC